rnacentral:lncRNA from 1 species
AGAGAGAGAGAUUGACGACGAUGGUGGCGAAUCUCCGCCCUAUUCAUCACCACACUGCCACCUUGACCAUCGCCCAACCCCCAGCGCACCUCCCCCGCCAACCCCUCGAAAACACCACUUUAAACCCCCAAAUUGUCAGAGAUUUUUGAUUCAAGAAGCAAAAACUCAUCUCCUAUGGGCUCCAAGCAACCUGGCUUCGAUGACGACGCAAGCCCCGGAUUUUAAUCGGUGGUUUAGCAAAGGAUACUACCAUAGGUACCUUAGUUAACUAUUUUACAAAGUAUGGAGACCUGAUGGAUUUGGUUAUCAUGAAAGAUCGAUAGACUGGUCGUCUAAGGGGCUUUGGGUUUAUUAAGUAUGCGGAUCCUUCGGUUGUUGACACUGUUAUUGCUGAGACAAAUGUUAUUAAUGGGAAACAAGUCAAACUUAUUGACUUCUCUCUUGGUGAGAAAUCUUUGGUUACUUGCAGCAGUCAUGAACCAAGCAACCCUCGCGACCCUCAUAGAGUAGUGCUUAAUUUGAUGCGAGAACUGGAAAAAUAAUGAAAGAUUUCAACGAAAGGGCAGAUGAGUUUGCGUUUGGAGAAACCGGCGGUUUCACUGGGGUUUCUUGGCCUGUUUUCAGCUAUGGGAAAGAGAAGUUGAGUCUGGAAAGACAGAUCUACUGAAAUGCUGUUGAUUUUUAGUCCUAAACCACUUAAUAUUGCUGUACAGAAUGGUAGCGAUCAUGACACGGGUUUGAUGGCAGAUGUUGGCAGUGAUCAGGAAGAUCAUUCAGUUGCUGUAGCGAAGCACAUAGAAGUUGCAGAUAAAUAUGACGUCGGGGAAUACGGUGACUUUCUUUCAUCCAAGGUUUCAUUUAUUUGGUUGUUUUAUGUUUGACUUAAACAAAAAUUCGAACUAGUUAACUUUUAUGUACUUUUAUGUGUAUACAUGUACACAUCAGUGGUUUCGUAUGUAUUCGGGAAAAUUGGUUAUAGCACUAAAAUGUAAUUUUU